CCUGGCUGGCUAGAUGUUACUGGUUUACCAGGAGCCGCGUGGCUCGGAGAGAGGUUUCUGUUCUUUGAGGUUCCUGCAGGUGGAUCCUGUUGAGAUUUAACGCAGGUGUUUGUCCCUCAGACACCACUGAGGGCCCUCUCCUCUUUCUGUUUCUCGCUGUCCCUGAACAGUAAUAGGGUAACAUUUUCUGGUCCCCGGAAAACAGCCUGCUCUUGGCGUGUUUCUAUUGUGCAUCAUCUAUGUUUGGCCUUGACCCUCCUGUGUUCUGCACUGUGAGCAGAAUAUCAAGUGGGCUGGAGAAGCGAGCCAGGCACUGCCAGCCCAGUGUGUGCAUUGUCAGGGGGAAUAUCAUGCUACGUGCACAGAAAAUAACUUCCUUUUCUCAUUUUAUAAAUUAGCUCAGCGAUCCCUGAGAUUAUGAGCCUUUAUUCCCAUAGACAGUGCUUUAAAGGGGAAAAAGAAACAAUAACAAUGGAAUCAGAAUACAGUUCUCUGGGCAGUUCCAAUCAGGAAGCGUGGGUAGGAAUACGGUCUAGAGAUUCUUACAGCACCCAAAAGCUCUCCAUCAUCCCCGAUCCCACUUUCUCUCCUAGCCUCACCCCUACUUCGGCUGCUUUAUCACAAAAAGCUCUGAUGAAAGGCUUGUGAUCUCAGCUGGGGCUGCCGGGCUGGGGAGAAGAAAAGGGGUCCUCUUUCUAGAGGAGAAAGGUCGUGCAAAAUGCUGGAUUCCUGUGUCUGGGAGGCAGCCGACCAACCUUUUCAGAUACAGGUUUGUCCUCUGUCAUAGAAUUUGUCAUAGAAGCAGUGACAAUUUUGUCAUAGAAGCAGUGAUAAUCAGAGCGAGGAAUGUAUAAAUCAUCUGGACCUCCCCCUACAGAUGAGGAAACUGAGACCCAGAGAAGGUAAGUGACUGGGCCGAGGUCCUCACUCAGCUGACGAGGGGCUGGCCUGGGACCCCCGUGAGCCUGACUGCACUUCUCAAAGCAGAAGGGUUCCCAGGGGAGAAAAAGGCGUCUCUUUCCCAUCUCAUUUUAUUCCAAAGUACAAAACCCAUUCCUAUUUUUUCUUAAUCUACUUGUAAACUCUAAUGACUAGUUCUAGUGUUAAAUACUUCACAUAAUUUACUUAAUUAGCUAAUUGCUAACAAUGUGAAGUCAUUUUCUUUGACCUUUUAUAAUCCCCGUUCCUCCCACAGAAAACAAGGUCCUAUCAUCAGUGUUUUGGUGACAUUGGCAUAAAAAGUGAAUGGCUUGACAUAAAAGCAGAGUCUAGUUCUGGAAUGUUUGGCUUUCCUCCACUAAACACCUGGAGUAUUUGAAGGUUCAGAAAAGUAAGAAGAAGGAAGGCUGCCUCGAUUCCCUCCCUCUGAGUUUGCUACUUUUCCACCAUGGAAUCAUCAUGGUAUCACAAUAGGACUGUUGGAAAUGGCCCUGACCGGGGAGUCCUUCGGGAUCUCCUCCUCACGAAGCCUCAUGUACUCUGGUUCGGAGACGCUCAAGCCCGAGCCAACCUCGCAAGCCCAGUUGACCUAAUUCAGUCUUCUGACCAGUGGAAUGGCAUCCAGCAUCACGUCCAGCUUUAAAAGCUUUCACAAAAGAGACCUCCAGAGCUCCCAGACCUAUCACUGCACAAGGUACCCUGGACAUUAAGUUAUUGGAAAUCCGACAGUUUAACACAGUCUCCGGGUCAUCUGUUUGCUGGGGAGAAGGCAGUUGAAUAUGGGUGUGAUGUAUGCCGAGAUGGAGACAAAUGUCUUCCUUUAGGCAUCAAAACUAGGCAUCUGGGCUUUGUGGAAGGAUCUGCGGUGGCUCCCUGGGCUGGUGAAGGGCCGAAUCUCUGGCGCCUGAAGCCUGACUGGUCCCAGCCUCCACACCUCUGCCCAGAGCGGUCCUCACAGUGAGCUGCUGAGCUGACAGCUGUCUCUUUCGGAGCCCUUUGGGUCUGCCGCCCCAUGCUGUCCCCUUGAGAGAGAAGCAUGGUGCUGUAUUGAGUGCAAUGCCCAUCACCCUGUAAUCUGGCUGUAUGAGUCCGAGUUCAGUCAAGGAAAGAGAGCAACCAUGUGUUCCACACGCCGUGACGUGACAAUAUAUCGUGAUCCUCAGAGAAGGAUCUGAUUAUCAUAACCCAAAACCCACACUGAUUAAGCUAUGAACAAAUAUAUAAAUAAACAAAGAAACAUGCUGGAGUCAAAAGAAGAAGAAGAAGAAGAAGAAAAGAAGAAGAAGAAGAAGAAAAAGAAAAAGAGAAGGAUCUGAUUAUCAUAACCCAAAACCCACAUUGAGUAAGCUAUGAACAAAUAUAUAAAUAAACAAAGAAAUGUGCUGGAGUCAGAAGAAGAA